UGGGGAAUUUUGCGCAAUGGGGGAAACCCUGACGCAGCAACGCCGCGUGCGGGAUGAAGGCCUUCGGGUUGUAAACCGCUUUCAGCAGGGAAGAAAUUGACGGUACCUGCAGAAGAAGCUCCGGCUAAAUACGUGCCAGCAGCCGCGGUAAUACGUAUGGAGCGAGCGUUAUCCGGAUUUAUUGGGCGUAAAGCGCGCGUAGGCGGCUUGCCAAGCGGGAUCUCAAAACUGAGGGCUCAACCCCCAGCCGGAUCCCGAACUGGCAGGCUCGAGUUCGGUAGAGGAAGAUGGAAUUCCCAGUGUAGCGGUGAAAUGCGCAGAUAUUGGGAAGAACACCGAUGGCGAAGGCAGUCUUCUGGGCCGUAACUGACGCUGAGGUGCGAAAGCUAGGGGAGCGAACAG
rnacentral:rRNA from 1 species